rnacentral:lncRNA from 1 species
AUACAUUAUAUAAUUCAUGAAAUUAACAUUUAAUCAUUAAAUUUCAGUCAUAUGAACUUACUAUUUCAUUAUCUUACCACACUUGUUUCCUAUACACAUCACACAAGAUAUAAACAUAGCAUUCAACCAUAGUCACAAGCUAGUAUAUUUAAACAUAACUCUUUUUUUGGAACUAACCACAUGAUAAACCAUUCAUGAAAUUAUUUCAUGCCAAAUCAUAUACCGAAUAUACGAUACACACAUACUAUGAAACUUUAUUUUCACACAUGAGCUUAAACCAAAACCAAUAAUGCACAAAUAUAAGCAUUAUUUCUAUUUCAUCGUUUAUCAAUUAUAAUCAAGCAUAUGACCAAUUAUACACAAAUCAUUCAUAUACUUCCCAAUUUUCCUCCUCCUCCUCUCCAUUCCACAUCCUUAAUGUGUAUAACACACUUAAACAACAUUAGCUAUAAUUUUACUAUUCACUCACAUGUAUAUUCAAAGCUGUUUAUCCGAGUCAGAGUCACUAAAUUAUUUUUAUCCGGAGAAACAGAGCUCCAAAUUAAGAUCCGUUAAUUUUACCUAAAACUAGACUCACAUACCUUCUUACCAUAAAAUUUUCAGAAUUUUUGGUUCAGCCAAAUAGUACAGUUUAUUCUUUAAAGUUUCCCCUGUUUUGCUGUCUGACAGUUCCGACCACUCUUCACUAAAAAUUAAUUAUCUCAUUGUACAGAAUUUGGAUGAUGUUUUAGUUUGUUUCUUAUAAAAAUAGACUCAUUAAGGAUUCUAACCAUAUAAAUUAUAACUCAUAAUCAUUUUUUUACAAUUUUUAAUGAUUUUCCAAAUUCAGAACAGGGGAACCCGAAUUCAUUCUGACCUUGUCUCACAAAAUCUAUUAUAUCUCAUGAUUUACAAUUUCAUUACUUACACCGUUUCUUCUAUGAGAAACUAGACUUAAUAAGCUUUAAUUUCAUAUUUUAUUCACCCUCUAAUUCAAUUCCCACAAUUUUUGGUGAUUU